rnacentral:rRNA from 1 species
CCCUUAGAUGUUCUGGGCUGCACGCGCGCUACACUGAUGCGCUCAACGAGUUUUAACCUUGCCUGGAAAGGUUGGGUAAUCUUUUUAAAACGCAUCGUGAUGGGGAUAGAUUAUUGCAAUUAUUAAUCUUCAACGAGGAAUUCCUAGUAAGCGCGAGUCAUAAGCUCGCAUCGAUUAAGUCCCUGCCCUUUGUACACACCGCCCGUCGCUACUACCGAUUGAACGUUUUAGUGAGGCAUUUGGACCGACGCAUCUCAGUUUAACCGCUGGUUUGUGUUGGAAAGACUUCCAAACUUGAGCGUUUAGAGGAAGUAAAAGUCGUAACA